rnacentral:rRNA from 1 species
CCUACGGGGGGCAGCAGUGGGGAAUAUUGCACAAUGGGGGAAACCCUGAUGCAGCAACGCCGCGUGGGUGAAGGAGCGUUUCGGCGCGUAAAGCCCUGUCAGCGGGGAAGAAGAAAGACGGUACCUGACUAAGAAGCCCCGGCUAACUACGUGCCAGCAGCCGCGGUAAUACGUAGGGGGCAAGCGUUAUCCGGAUUUACUGGGUGUAAAGGGAGCGUAGACGGCAAUACAAGUCGGAAGUGAAAUACCCGGGCUUAACCUGGGAACUGCUUUGGAAACUGUAUGGCUGGAGUGCUGGAGAGGUA